GCAUCGAUGGUUCAGUGGUAGAAUGCUCGCCUAACCACGCGGGCGGCCCGGGUUCGAUUCCCGGCCGAUGCA
rnacentral:tRNA from 1 species